CCCACAGAAGUCCGAGCGUUUCUUCGGAGGGAGCGGCGGACGGGUUAGUAACGCGUGGGAACGUGCCCAGAUCUAAGGAAUAGCCACUGGAAACGGUGAGUAAUACCUUAUACGCCCUUCGGGGGAAAGAUUUAUCGGAUUUGGAUCGGCCCGCGUUAGAUUAGAUAGUUGGUGGGGUAACGGCCUACCAAGUCUACGAUCUAUAGCUGGUUUUAGAGGAUGAUCAGCAACACUGGGACUGUGACACGGCCCAGACUCCUACGGGAGGCAGCAGUGGGGAAUCUUGGACAAUGGGCGCAAGCCUGAUCCAGCCAUGCCGCGUGAGUGAUGAAGGCCCUAGGGUCGUAAAGCUCUUUCGCCUGUGAAGAUAAUGACGGUAGCAGGCAAAGAAACCCCGGCUAACUCCGUGCCAGCAGCCGCGGUAAUACGGAGGGGGUUAGCGUUGUUCGGAAUUACUGGGCGUAAAGCGCGCGUAGGCGGACUAUUAAGUCAGAGGUGAAAUCCCGGGGCUCAACCCCGGAACUGCCUUUGAUACUGGUAGUCUUGAGUUCGAGAGAGGUAAGUGGAAUUCCGAGUGUAGAGGUGAAAUUCGUAGAUAUUCGGAGGAACACCAGUGGCGAAGGCGGCUUACUGGCUCGAUACUGACGCUGAGGUGCGAAAGUGUGGGGAGCAAACAGGAUUAGAUACCCUGGUAGUCCACACCGUAAACGAUGAAUGCCAGUCGUCGGGUAGCAUGCUAUUCGGUGACACACCUAACGGAUUAAGCAUUCCGCCUGGGGAGUACGGUCGCAAGAUUA
rnacentral:rRNA from 1 species